CUCCUCUGUCAGCACAGGGAAACUUGGGUCCUGAUCUGUAGUCUCAGCUCUUGUACAUAUCAAAGAGUAGCUGAGUAUUUUUGAGAAAGCAGCAGACAAGGAUGUAAAAGAACAUGUAAUAUAAUACCAACAGCCUUUCCAUUUCAGUUUGUGUUCUAUGAAUCCUCAAACCACCAAGCAAGACAGGACUUUUGUACCCAGAGGAUAGAACAAACCACAGAGUUAUUUUUGCCUUAAGUGGAAAAAAAAAAGAAAGGAAGAAAAGAAAAAAAAGUCAUUGUCUUCAGGAAUCGUGGCAGAAAUUUCUCCCCAGCAAAGAAAAGCAGCUAUCAAUGGAGAAGUUGUAGUUUAGUAGCAGGCUGUAGUGCAAAUUUAAAAUUCUCAUUUUCCAGGGGUCACAGGAUAGCUGAGGCUGGAAGUGACCUCUUGAAGUCACCUGGUCAAACCUUGGUUUAUUUUGAAUGAAACAGCAUCAUACCAGACACUCUGAAGAAAACAAUUCUAUCCCAGCUGAAACUAAGACACCAGGAUGACGUCCAGACAAUUUAUGAAGAUCUCUAAGAAGGAGACUCCAGAGCCUCUCUGUGCCAAUACUCAGUCACCUGCACAGCACAGAAAUGUUCAGGCAGAGCAUCCUCUGUUCCUGUUUGUUCCCCUUGCUUUUUGUCCUGGCAAUGGGCAUUACUGAAUAGAAC
ensembl:lncRNA